rfam:Trichomonas vaginalis G3, whole genome shotgun sequence.
UCCGAUAUCGUUCAGCGGUUAGGAUAUGUGGUUUUCAUCCACAGGAUCGGGGUUCGACUCCCCGUAUCGGAA